GUUGCUGAAGACCAAUUCUAUCCUGGAUCUUCACAGAAAAUGCCUGGCAUUUCCACAUGGCUGAGUUUAACACAUCAAUUUUUUGUUUAAACAGAUAACUGGGGAACUAAUUAGAGAUUGAUGUAGCUCUUUGUUUAAUAAGGUGUUAAUAAAAACUUCUGAGUAUA